UACAGAGGGUGCAAGCGUUAAUCGGAAUUACUGGGCGUAAAGGGCGCGUAGGUGGUUAUGUGCGUGAGAGGUGAAAUCCCCGGGCUUAACCUGGGAACUGCCUCUUAAACUGCAUGGCUGGAGUACGAUAGAGGGUAGAGGAAUUUCCGGUGUAGCGGUGAAAUGCGUAGAUAUCGGAAGGAACACCAGUGGCGAAGGCGACUACCUGGAUUGAUACUGACACUGAGGCGCGAAAGCGUGGGGAGCAAACAGG
rnacentral:rRNA from 1 species